rnacentral:rRNA from 1 species
UACGUAGGGGGCUAGCGUUGUCCGGAAUCAUUGGGCGUAAAGAGCGUGUAGGCGGCCCGGUAAGUCCGCUGUGAAAGUCGGGGGCUCAACCCUCGAAUGCCGGUGGAUACUGUCGGGCUAGAGUGCGGAAGAGGCGAGUGGAAUUCCUGGUGUAGCGGUGAAAUGCGCAGAUAUCAGGAGGAACACCAAUUUCGAAGGCAGCUCGCUGGGACGUAACUGACGCUGAGACGCGAAAGCGUGGGGAGCAAACAGG